AUUUUCAAAACGAAUCAUAUCAU
rnacentral:snRNA from 1 species